GACGAACGCUGGCGGCGUGCUUAACACAUGCAAGUCGAGCGGAAAGGCCCUUCGGGGUACUCGAGCGGCGAACGGGUGAGUAACACGUGAGUAACCUGCCCUAGACUUUGGGAUAACCCUCGGAAACGGGGGCUAAUACCGGAUACUCCUUCUAAAUCGCACUAUUUGGUUGGGAAAGUUUUUCGGUCUGGGAUGGACUCGCGGCCUAUCAGCUUGUUGGUGGGGUAAUGGCCUACCAAGGCGAGGACGGGUAGCCGGCCUGAGAGGGCGACCGGCCACACUGGGACUGAGACACGGCCCAGACUCCUACGGGAGGCAGCAGUGGGGAAUAUUGCACAAUGGGCGGAAGCCUGAUGCAGCGACGCCGCGUGAGGGAUGACGGCCUUCGGGUUGUAAACCUCUUUCAGCAGGGACGAAGCGUAAGUGACGGUACCUGCAGAAGAAGCGCCGGCCAACUACGUG
rnacentral:rRNA from 1 species